GUACGUACAAGCAGUGGGAGCACAGAGCAAUCUGUGUGACUGCGUACCUUUUGUAUAAUGGGUCAGCGACUUAUAUUCUGUAGCAAGGUUAACCGAAUAGGGGAGCCGAAGGGAAACCGAGUCUUAACUGGGCGUUAAGUUGCAGGGUAUAGACCCGAAACCCGGUGAUCUAGCCAUGGGCAGGUUGAAGGUUGGGUAACACUAACUGGAGGACCGAACCGACUAAUGUUGAAAAAUUAGCGGAUGACUUGUGGCUGGGGGUGAAAGGCCAAUCAAACCGGGAGAUAGCUGGUUCUCCCCGAAAGCUAUUUAGGUAGCGCCUCGUGAAUUCAUCUCCGGGGGUAGAGCACUGUUUCGGCAAGGGGGUCAUCCCGACUUACCAACCCGAUGCAAACUGCGAAUACCGGAGAAUGUUAUCACGGGAGACACACGGCGGGUGCUAACGUCCGUCGUGAAGAGGGAAACAACCCAGACCGCCAGCUAAGGUCCCAAAGUCAUGGUUAAGUGGGAAACGAUGUGGGAAGGCCCAGACAGCCAGGAUGUUGGCUUAGAAGCAGCCAUCAUUUAAAGAAAGCGUAAUAGCUCACUGGUCGAGUCGGCCUGCGCGGAAGAUGUAACGGGGCUAAACCAUGCACCGAAGCUGCGGCAGCGACACUGUGUGUUGUUGGGUAGGGGAGCGUUCUGUAAGCCUGUGAAGGUGUGCUGUGAGGCAUGCUGGAGGUAUCAGAAGUGCGAAUGCUGACAUAAGUAACGAUAAAGCGGGUGAAAAGCCCGCUCGCCGGAAGACCAAGGGUUCCUGUCCAACGUUAAUCGGGGCAGGGUGAGUCGACCCCUAAGGCGAGGCCGAAAGGCGUAGUCGAUGGGAAACAGGUUAAUAUUCCUGUACUUGGUGUUACUGCGAAGGGGGGACGGAGAAGGCUAUGUUGGCCGGGCGACGGUUGUCCCGGUUUAAGCGUGUAGGCUGGUUUUCCAGGCAAAUCCGGAAAAUCAAGGCUGAGGCGUGAUGACGAGGCACUACGGUGCUGAAGCAACAAAUGCCCUGCUUCCAGGAAAAGCCUCUAAGCAUCAGGUAACAUCAAAUCGUACCCCAAACCGACACAGGUGGUCAGGUAGAGAAUACCAAGGCGCUUGAGAGAACUCGGGUGAAGGAACUAGGCAAAAUGGUGCCGUAACUUCGGGAGAAGGCACGCUGAUAUGUAGGUGAAGUCCCUCGCGGAUGGAGCUGAAAUCAGUCGAAGAUACCAGCUGGCUGCAACUGUUUAUUAAAAACACAGCACUGUGCAAACACGAAAGUGGACGUAUACGGUGUGACGCCUGCCCGGUGCCGGAAGGUUAAUUGAUGGGGUCAGCGCAAGCGAAGCUCUUGAUCGAAGCCCCGGUAAACGGCGGCCGUAACUAUAACGGUCCUAAGGUAGCGAAAUUCCUUGUCGGGUAAGUUCCGACCUGCACGAAUGGCGUAAUGAUGGCCAGGCUGUCUCCACCCGAGACUCAGUGAAAUUGAACUCGCUGUGAAGAUGCAGUGUACCCGCGGCAAGACGGAAAGACCCCGUGAACCUUUACUAUAGCUUGACACUGAACAUUGAGCCUUGAUGUGUAGGAUAGGUGGGAGGCUUUGAAGUGUGGACGCCAGUCUGCAUGGAGCCGACCUUGAAAUACCACCCUUUAAUGUUUGAUGUUCUAACGUGGACCCGUGAUCCGGGUUGCGGACAGUGUCUGGUGGGUAGUUUGACUGGGGCGGUCUCCUCCUAAAGAGUAACGGAGGAGCACGAAGGUUGGCUAAUCCUGGUCGGACAUCAGGAGGUUAGUGCAAUGGCAUAAGCCAGCUUGACUGCGAGCGUGACGGCGCGAGCAGGUGCGAAAGCAGGUCAUAGUGAUCCGGUGGUUCUGAAUGGAAGGGCCAUCGCUCAACGGAUAAAAGGUACUCCGGGGAUAACAGGCUGAUACCGCCCAAGAGUUCAUAUCGACGGCGGUGUUUGGCACCUCGAUGUCGGCUCAUCACAUCCUGGGGCUGAAGUAGGUCCCAAGGGUAUGGCUGUUCGCCAUUUAAAGUGGUACGCGAGCUGGGUUUAGAACGUCGUGAGACAGUUCGGUCCCUAUCUGCCGUGGGCGCUGGAGAACUGAGGGGGGCUGCUCCUAGUACGAGAGGACCGGAGUGGACGCAUCACUGGUGUUCGGGUUGUCAUGCCAAUGGCACUGCCCGGUAGCUAAAUGCGGAAGAGAUAAGUGCUGAAAGCAUCUAAGCACGAAACUUGCCCCGAGAUGAGUUCUCCCUGACCCUUUAAGGGUCCUGAAGGAACGUUGAAGACGACGACGUUGAUAGGCCGGGUGUGUAAGCGCAGCGAUGCGUUGAGCUAACCGGUACUAAUGAACCGUGAGGCUUAACCUUACAACGCCGAAGGUGUUU
rnacentral:rRNA from 1 species